rnacentral:rRNA from 1 species
AUUGAACGCUGGCGGAGUGCUUUACACAUGCAAGUCGAACGGCAGCACGGACUUCGGUCUGGUGGCGAGUGGCGAACGGGUGAGUAAUGUAUCGGAACGUGCCCAGUCGUGGGGGAUAACGUAGUGAAAAUUACGCUAAUACCGCAUACGAUCUAUGGAUGAAAGCGGGGGAUCGCAAGACCUCGCGCGAUUGGAGCGGCCGAUAUCAGAUUAGGUAGUUGGUGGGGUAAAGGCCCACCAAGCCAACGAUCUGUAGCUGGUCUGAGAGGACGACCAGCCACACUGGAACUGAGACACGGUCCAGACUCCUACGGGAGGCAGCAGUGGGGAAUUUUGGACAAUGGGCGAAAGCCUGAUCCAGCCAUUCCGCGUGCAGGAUGAAGGCCCUCGGGUUGUAAACCGCUUUUGUACAGAACGAAAAGGUUUCUACUAAUACUAGGAGCUCAUGACGGUACUGUAAGAAUAAGCACCGGCUAACUACGUGCCAGCAGCCGCCGCCA